UACGUAGGUGGCAAGCGUUGUCCGGAUUUAUUGGGCGUAAAGGGAACGCAGGCGGUCUUUUAAGUCUGAUGUGAAAGCCUUCGGCUUAACCGGAGUAGUGCAUUGGAAACUGGAAGACUUGAGUGCAGAAGAGGAGAGUGGAACUCCAUGUGUAGCGGUGAAAUGCGUAGAUAUAUGGAAGAACACCAGUGGCGAAAGCGGCUCUCUGGUCUGUAACUGACGCUGAGGUUCGAAAGCGUGGGUAGCAAACAGG
rnacentral:rRNA from 2 species